rnacentral:rRNA from 1 species
AACGCUAGCUACAGGCUUAACACAUGCAAGUCGAGGGGUAACGAGAGGAAAGCUUGCUUUCCUUGUCGACGACCGGCGCACGGGUGAGUAACGCGUAUCCAACCUGCCCACCACUUGGGGAUAACCUUGCGAAAGUAAGACUAAUACCCAAUGAUAUCCCACGAAGGCAUCCGAAUGGGAUUAAAGAUUUAUCGGUGAUGGAUGGGGAUGCGUCUGAUUAGCUUGUUGGCGGGGUAAUGGCCCACCAAGGCGACGAUCAGUAGGGGUUCUGAGAGGAAGGUCCCCCACAUUGGAACUGAGACACGGUCCAAACUCCUACGGGAGGCAGCAGUGAGGAAUAUUGGUCAAUGGACGAGAGUCUGAACCAGCCAAGUAGCGUGCAGGAUGACGGCCCUAUGGGUUGUAAACUGCUUUUAUAAGGGAAUAAAGUGAGAGUCGUGACUCUUUUUGCAUGUACCUUAUGAAUAAGGACCGGCUAAUUCCGUGCCAGCAGCCGCGGUAAUACGGAAGGUCCGGGCGUUAUCCGGAUUUAUUGGGUUUAAAGGGAGCGUAGGCCGGAGAUUAAGCGUGUUGUGAAAUGUAGAUGCUCAACAUCUGCACUGCAGCGCGAACUGGUUUCCUUGAGUACGCACAAAGUGGGCGGAAUUCGUGGUGUAGCGGUGAAAUGCUUAGAUAUCACGAAGAACUCCGAUUG